UAGCUCAAUGAAGCGAACCGGGAGAACUGAAACAUCUAAGUACCCCGAGGAAAAGAAAUCAACCGAGAUUCCGAAAGUAGCGGCGAGCGAAAUUGGAUUAGCCCUUAAGCUUUACAUGUGUUAGACGAACGGUCUGGAAAGUCCGACGAUACAGGGUGAUAGUCCCGUAGUUGUAGAUGCAUGUUCAGUGAAAUCGAGUAGGGCGGGACACGUGUUAUCCUGUCUGAAUAUGGGGGGACCAUCCUCCAAGGCUAAAUACUCCUGACUGACCGAUAGUGAACCAGUACCGUGAGGGAAAGGCGAAAAGAACCCCUGUGAGGGGAGUGAAAUAGAACCUGAAACCGUGUACGUACAAGCAGUAGGAGCACCUUCGUGGUGUGACUGCGUACCUUUUGUAUAAUGGGUCAGCGACUUAUAUUCAGUGGCAAGGUUAACCAUCUAGGGGAGCCGUAGGGAAACCGAGUCUUAACUGGGCGCCAUAGUCUCUGGAUAUAGACCCGAAACCGAGUGAUCUAGCCAUGGGCAGGUUGAAGGUUGAGUAACAUCAACUGGAGGACCGAACCGACUAAUGUUGAAAAAUUAGCGGAUGACUUGUGGCUAGGGGUGAAAGGCCAAUCAAACUCGGAGAUAGCUGGUUCUCCCCGAAAGCUAUUUAGGUAGCGCCUCGGACGAAUACUACUGGGGGUAGAGCACUGUUAAGGCUAGGGGGUCAUCCCGACUUACCAACCCUUUGCAAACUCCGAAUACCAGUAAGUACUAUCCGGGAGACACACGGCGGGUGCUAACGUCCGUCGUGGAGAGGGAAACAACCCAGACCGCCAGCUAAGGUCCCAAAUUACAGCUAAGUGGGAAACGAUGUGGGAAGGCUUAGACAGCUAGGAUGUUGGCUUAGAAGCAGCCAUCAUUUAAAGAAAGCGUAAUAGCUCACUAGUCGAGUCGGCCUGCGCGGAAGAUGUAACGGGGCUAAGUU
rnacentral:rRNA from 1 species